UCCCAAAAACCCCCCGGCUUGGAGUAAUGAAGAGACCGAAGAGACCACCCUUCCAUGGGAAUUCUCUUCAUCCCAAUAAAACCUGAAACUCCCUUCUUUUUCUCUUUCUCCUCUUUCAUAUUUUGUUUAAGCAAGUUUCAAUCUUUUUUCUUUCCUUUUUUCUUUUGUAGAUUAUUGAAUUAUUCUUGUUGAUGAGAAUGGCGCUUGAAUCCUCAAUUCUCAGCCAACCCACUUUCUGUUCUUCAAGAAGGUCCUCGCCUUUCAUGCUUUUUAAUCGAAAUUUGAAGUACCCAUAAAAGUUUUUAUCCAAAACUAAUCACUACCCAGCUCCUAUUAUCUCCAGCUUUUCCAAUCCCGAGGUUUUCAAAGCCUUUGGAUUGCGAAAAACUGGAAUUUUUGGAAGUCAGGCACGUCUGGGAUUGUUAAGUGAAGACAAUGAAGAUGUGGGAAAUAAUCAGAAUCUGAUUUUGGUGAAAAGGGGAAUUUUGGUGGCAAUGGUUUGCAGUGUAUUGGUCUUUGGUUGUAAAAGAGUGUUUGCUGUUGAGGGAGUGGUUAAUGCUGGCUAUGGGGUGAUUGAGCAUUGCAUAUUGUUGUUGAGGAACGCUUGGCCUAAGUUAUCUAUGCUUCUUAAAGCUAAUCUUUCAUCUUCUUCUUCUUCAAUUACACAGUUGUGCUCUCCUGAAGAAGCUGCUGCAUUGAUCCAAUUCAAGAUCUCUUUUUCAAUCAGUGAAUAUUCAUAUUGGGAAUGCGGUGAAUCUUUUCCUAUGACAAAUUCAUGGAAGGAGGGUUCAGAUUGCUGCUCAUGGGAUGGGGUCACUUGUGAUAACAUCAAAGGUCAAGUUAUUGGCCUUGACUUGAGUUGCAGUCAGCUAAAUGGCAGCAUCCCUUUCAAUAACAGUCUCUUCCAUCUUCCACACCUACAGAAACCCAACCUAGCCUUCAACUACUUUAACUCUGCCAAGAUGUCAUCUAAGUUUGGUGGGUUUGCAAGUCUAAUGUAUCUCAAUCUCUCUUAUUCAAACUUUGAAGGACAAGUCCCAUCCCAAGUCUCCCACUUGUAGAAAUUGGUUUCACUUGAUCUCUCUGGGAAUUAUUAUUAACCACAUGACAGACAUACUGUGGAAGGACUUGUUCAGAACCUAACAGAGGUGAGACACCUUUUUCUUGACAGUAUCGAUAUGCCUUGAUGAAUCUACCCUCAUCUUUAAGGACUCUUAAUCUCAAGUACUGUGAUUUGCGAGGAAAAUUCCCAAAAAACAUUUUUCACCUGCCUAACCUCAAGUCCCUCUAUUUAGGAUACAACGAAAACCUUGCUCUCUAUUUAGAUCUAUCAGGAAUGUCCUUCUCAACAAAAUCGAUAGAUUCGACGAUCGGCAAUUUACAAUCUUUGAAAUAUUUGGAUUUAUCAUGGACUUCUUUUCUUGGAGGGUUGCCUGAGUCUAUCACGAAUUUAUCAUCUUUGGAGCAUUUGGAUGCAUCAGACUCAUCUUUCUCAGGAGGACUGCCCAACUCAAUCGGGAAUCUAGUGUCCUUGGAGUAUUUAAGUCUUUCAUCACCCAAUUUAUCAGGAUCAAUUUUGAUAUCAUUGGGAAACCUCUCACAACUCAAUUAUUUAGAUUUGUCAUGGAACUAUUUUAGUGGACAAAUUCCAUCUUCACUUACAAAGCUUAGGCAACUUGAAUUUUUGGACAUUUCUAAUAAUCAACUAGAAGGUUCCAUUCCUGAUGAAGUAGCUGCCUUUCCUAAUCUAAUUUCUUUAAACUUAUCUUUUAAUUUGAUCAACGGAACGAUUCCAUCAUGGUUGUUUACAGCUUCCACAUUGAAGUACAUAGCUCUCAUGCAUAAUCAACUCAAUGGUGAUGUCAAGGAAUUUCAAUACAAAUCACUAGAAGAGAUCUCUUUAGAGAAUUAACACUUGGUUACCUUCUUAAUCAAGUUAAGCAAGGAAAAAGAAGAAAUCGGUGUCACUUGCUAAAGUCAUCUGGGCUGGCAAUUCCUUCAUCACAAGCAAAUUUUGCUUUACUUUGCUGAAUCAAAGAUUUUACUAAGCUUUGCUUAGUAACUCCGUGUGCUUAAACUAUCCAGUUGCCAACUUGGCUUAACCUUGGACCAUGUUGAGAAGAACACUAACUGGCCAUUACCAAUGGAGCCAAAACUUUCCUAUAAUUUCAGUUGUUCAUAAUAAGAGACCUGUUCUUUUCAAAUUUUAUUCAUAAUUUAGCCUUCUGAUAGUAUUCGGUUGGAUCGGAGCUUUUGCAAUGCCAAAUUCAAGUCUUUUCUUUUCUCAGUUCAGGGUAGAGACGGUUACCUCUAAGAACUUUAGUCUAAGGAGAGAAUUGUAAUUCUAAAAUCUAUGGGGGCAAGUUUUGUCAUUUCUGCUUCUCUCACUUCCCACUUGCAGCGAGCAAAAUCUUUCCUUCACCAGCCAGACUUCUCCCAAAGACCCCUCUUGGAGUAAUGAAGAGACCACCCUUCCAUGGGAAUUCUCUUCAUCCCAGUAAAACCUGAAACUCCCUUCUUUUUCUCUUUCUCCUUUUUCCAUAUUUUGUUUAAACAUUUUGUAGCAGGAUUAGGAACUUAAUUUUCCGCAUUUAGAUUUUCUUUUUGCCCUCACCAUCAUGCCAAUUUUAUCUUCACCUUCCUUAUCAGAAUGAAUUGAGAUCCUCCCCAUCACAAACUUCUGUGUCCAUAAUAAAUAGUAUGAAAAUGUAGCAAAGGUAUUGCAGGCUGUGGCAUUGCAAAGCCAUUUCUUCUUCAUCUUCUUAUUCAUGGCUACCAGCAUCACCACUAAUAGCGACUAUUAAAGUUGAGUUGUGGCUGCAAGCAUCAGCCUCUGUUAGUGAAACAAAAGACAACGGUCAUGUUAUUCAUCCAUUCAUCAUCAUAAAGUUUGUACAAGGGAUAUGUUAAUACAUAUUAUCGCAAGCAUGCACAACACCACGUAAUGGCUUUUGAAGCUGAGCAAGCACGCGCUAAUUUGCUUGCUGUAGAGAUAGGUUGCCCACGUGGCAUUCAUUAGAAGACUUGGAAAGUCUUUUGCUUUUCAUCAAGAAAUGGUCUAAAUAUUAAGUACUGGACAUCCUUGCCAACCAUCAUUCCUAUAAUUGGUACACCAUAAUGAGUAUUUGCUUUUGGACCAAAUUGGUCUACCAAUUGUUAAAAUAACUUGAAAUUUGAAACCAUGGUCUACCGAGAAUCAAACUUUAGACAAUAAGAAAUAACAUGAAUAAUAAACAAAUGAAAUUAGAUGUGAACAUGAAGACAGAUCUCCGAAAGUGAUUAUUUAUUUCUUUUCUCACUCUAUUAUGAAAGGGAAUUAUCAAUUAAAAUUAAAAUUUAACUCUUAUAUUCAUACUUCAAUAAUUCACUUUCAUGCGUUAUCAAUGAAUUACAAAACUGCUAUGGAUAAAAAUUACUAUUCACAUGAUCAAACAAAUGAUUAUUACUACAAAAUCACAAAAUAAAAUAAAUAAACAUCUCAAAUUGAAUUUACCAUAAUAAAAUAUUAUAUAUAUGACAACAAAAAAAAUAUAUAUUUGACAACAAAAAGUUAAAAUUUGUAGGAAGCAUUUUUUGCCUUCCCUGUGUUAUAGACAGUUUCUUUUCCUCUUGAAGACGCGACCAACAUUAAUUUGCUCCUUGCAAUAAUCCCAACCUCCAACAUUAAAAUGAAAAAGAAAAAUGGGUGAGAAGAUAUGGCUUUGGUCAGUCGAGUCUAAUUGACAAUCUCUGUUCCAAAAUUGACAAAGAAACAUCAAUAUGAAAUUAGGACUCUUCUUUUUGUUCUUGCCUUGAAAGAAUUAAAUUCAACAUCGAGAUGGACAUUACCAAAGUAAAAGGGAGAUUCCUAAAGCUUUUCCAUAGAUUUUUGAAGAAGUAUUUUAACUAAUUCUCUCUCAAAAAAAAAAAAAAGGAAUAGAGAUGCUUUAUUAAAGAAAAUUCUAACUAAUACAAAUUAGCUUCAUGUUUGUGAUCCUAAAUCUAAUAAUGUAUAUCUUCAUAAGAUUUCAAGAAAUUAGUUCCAGCAUUCAGUCUUCUUGCUUCUCUCAUGUUUUCUAGUAUAGCCCAGUCAAUACUGUAAAUUGCCCUUGUUGGGGAGAAUUCUGCAAUGUUUCAGUGAGUGCACGUUGUGGGGGCAAUUCCAACACGGUAGAAGAUUAAAUUUCAGCCUGGUGUAGACCAUAUUAGCAUUAAUAAGACCAAGUUUAUAAUGGAAUGAUUGGAUCACACGUCCAUAUUGUCCUUUUACGGAAAUAACCACCUCACCUUUUUCUUUAAGAUUAGUUUAAUUUUUCCUUUUGACAUGUGGUCUUGGUCUCUUUGAUCAUCUCAUAUUUUCUCUAAUAGAAACUCUCUGUGAAAAGACAAAUCACUGAUCUUAAUGAGCUAGAUAAUCUAAUUAAUGAAUCAGAAGAAAAGUCUUGAUAUGAAAAUUUCGACUUUUACUGCAUAUUAUUUACAAAUGACAGCAUCAACCUCAUUCAUCACGCAGAGACUUUGUAUAGGAGACAAGACACCAUGGACAGUUUGAAUAAGGAAUGCAAUGUCUUUGAAGUGUUGUUUACUCUGAAACUUUGAAGUAGCAGACUACUUUUAACAGGAAAAAGUUAGAGGGACUUGGUAAACUAAUUUGUCUUGAAUGCAUUGACGUGAAGUUGGGGUUCUGCAGUGGUAUAAACAUGAUGCAAAAUGGCUCUGAUAAAGGAAAUUUUAUCAUCGCUGCGCUUUUGAAUUAUUGAUUUCUUUAUUUCUUUCUUUUCCCCUUUAAGUUAAAAAGAAACUUACGAACAUAAAGAAUGAAUAAAUAAAAUCAAAAUUAAUACGCGUUUUAGUUAAGAAAAAAAAAAUAAAAGAGAGAAAGACGGAAAACCUUUUCAAAAUGUUUACUUUAGAAGUAGAAGUCAUAUAGAUUUUUUCAUGCACGUAUUUCACGCGAGAAUGGUAAAGAGUGAUACGUCAUUGCUCUAUUCCUCUUUAAUCUGUAUGUUAGAUUAUGGAUUCUUAUCUUCUCUCAUUAUACUUUAUUAGAAAUUUAACAAGAUGGAAUUGAACUUAAUCUUUAUUUUAAUUUGAUAUGAAAAUUUAGAAAAAUGUUAUGAAGCAAAGGGUAAUGGCACUCUCAUAACGACAAUUGGUGUAGACCAUGACUUUUCAUCAACCCAAAUUUGGGGCCAAACUAAAUUUGAGAUACAACAUAAAUAAAUACUACAUUUAUGGUCUUUGUUUCUGUUCUUCCUCUGAAUUAACUUGAAAUUUAUCACCUCUUUUCUUAACACGGCAAGAUUAAUUUAAAGUAUGGUGUACUCCACAUUAUCAUUAAUGUAAAAAAAUAUAUAAUGGAAUGAUUGAAUCAAAUGCCUUUUUUUUUUCUUUUGGUCGGUACCACCUCCUUUUGCAUUCAAAUUAGCUUGAUUUUUUUUUUCUUUUUGACCAAGACCCAAAAAGUUAACAUCGAUAAGCCUUGUUAGUCAUCUUAUCUUCUCUCUAAUUGAAACUCUCCAAUUGUUGUUUACUUCGAACUUUGAAGCAGCAGACUACUUUUCACAGGAAAAAGUCAGAGAGACUUGGUAAACGAAUUUGUCUUGAAUGCACUGACGUGAAGUUGGUGGUUCUGCAAUGGGUGGAUCUCAUGUCCCUACGCCCUAUUUUCUUUAAGAUAGCUCAAUUGACGGUUUAAAGAAGCUAGUUCCAGCGUUAAGGUUUUCCUGCUUAUCUCAUUUUUUCUACAAGGUCAAUGCUGCAAUAUUUUAGUCUAGUGUAGUCCAUAUUAGUAUCUAAUGGAAUUAUUAAAUCAAUUGCUUAUAUUUGCCAUUUAUUGGGCACCACCUUCUUAUGCUUUCAAUUUAACUUGAUUUUUCUUUUUCGCUUGAGACCUAAAAAAUUAACAUUCACAAGCCUUCUUAGUCUUCGUGGACAUUUUUUUUUUCUUGACGAAAAGACAUAAUUGGUGGACAUCUGAUGUGAAAUUGGUGGAUCCCAUGUCCCUAACACCCUAUUUGCUUUGAGGUAGCUUCGUUAUAAAAUUCACCGGUCUUUUUGUGAAUUGACUUAAAAAUUAUUGGAUCCAUAAUUUCCUCAGUUUCCUAUGACACUAAUACUCUUUUCUUUCGUUUUAUAUUGAUUUUAGCAGUUAACAUGGCACCUUAUAUAAUGCCAACUUCAACCACAAGUUUAUAUAUGAAUACAAAAUUAUAUUUGUACAUUCUUUAUAUGUAUAUACAGAGUGAAAAAUAAAUAAAAAAUUAUAUCUCAGAAUGAAUCUGUAUAUGAACGAAACCAGUAAGUUAUAAACUGUGUAUUGUUUACCACUUGGCACCAAUGCUGCCAUUCGUUUGACAUUGGUUUGAGUGGGCAGUUUAUAAAUACUCAUCUAUGCCUUCUCACCACCACUCAUAUCAAUCAUAUCAUACCAUUAUUAUAUUCCAUUUCUCUUCUUAAGAAAUUAAGAUGUGCUGCUUACUCAUCAGAUCCUUUCAACUCCUCUACCUUCUUUUCUUCCUCUUGAAUUUUCAAGCGUAUCUUUCAUCUUGUUCUUCUUCAAUAACACCAUUAUGCUCUCCUGAAGAAGCUGCUGCAUUGAUCCAAUUCAAGACCUCUUUUUCCAUCAGUCAAGAUUCAUCUUGGAAUUCUGAUCAUUAUGCUGGCAUUAACUCUUAUCCCAAGACAAAUUCAUGGAAGGAGGGUUCAGAUUGCUGCUCAUGGGAUGGGGUCACUUGUGAUAGCAUGAAAGGUCAAGUGAUUGGCCUGGACUUGAGUUGCAGUCAGCUAUAUGGCAGAAUCCCUUCCAAUAGUAGUCUCUUCCAUCUUCCACACCUACAGAAACUCAACCUAGCCCACAACAAUUUUUACUUUUCCAAGAUGUCAUCUAAGUUUGGUGGGUUUGCAAGCCUAAUGUAUCUCAAUCUCUCUGAUUCAAACUUUGCAGGUCAAGUCCCAUCCCAAGUCUCCCACUUGUCGAAAUUGGUUUCACUUGAUCUCUCUCAGAAUUAUUAUCAACCACUUGACAGGCAUACUCUGGAAGGACUCGUUGAGAACCUAACAGAGGUGAGACAACUUUCUCUUGGUCAUAUCAAUAUGUCUUCUAUUAAUCCUAAUGCCUUGACGAAUCUAUCCUCAUCUUUAAGGGCCCUUAAUCUUGAGGGUUGUGAUUUGCGAGGAAAAUUCCCAAAAAACAUUUUUCACCUGCCUAACCUCAAGUCCCUCUAUUUAGGAUACAACAAAAACCUCGCUCUCUAUUUUCCAAAGUUGAACUGGACCAGCAAUCUUGAACUUUUAGAUCUAUCAAGCAUGUUCUUCUCUAUAGAAUCGACAGAUUCAAUAGGCAAUUUACAAUCUUUGAAAUAUUUGGAUUUAUUUGGGACUUCUUUUCCUGGAGGGUUGCCUGAGUCUAUCACGAAUUUAUCAUCUUUGGAGCAUUUGGAUGCAUCAGACUCAUCUUUCUCAAGAGGAUUGCCCAACUCAAUCGGGAAUCUAGUGUCCUUGGCGUAUUUAAAUCUUCAAUCAUCCAACUUGUCAGGAUCAAUUCCGAUAUCAUUGGGAAACCUCUCACAACUCAAUCAUUUAGAUUUGUCAUGGAACUAUUUUAGUGGACAAAUUCCAUCCUCACUUACAAACCUAAGACAACUUGAAUUCUUAUCCCUUUUUUAUAACCAACUAGAGGGUUCCAUUCCUGAUGAGGUGAAUGUCUUUCCUAAUCUAAUCUCUCUAGACUUAUGUUCUAAUUUACUCAAUGGAACACUUCCCUCAUGGUUGUAUACAGUUUCCACAUUGAAGCACAUAUAUCUCAACGAUAACAAGCUCAGUGGUGAUAUCAAGGAAUUCCAGUGCAAAUCACUAGAAGAGAUCUCUUUUGGGAAUAAUAAACUCAAAGGUCCUAUUCCAUCUUCAAUAUCCCAACUUGUGAAUCUUACUAGAGUUGACUUUUCACAUCUAAGUGGGUUUGUACAGAUUAACAUGUUCUCAAAACUCCAAAAUCUCCAAUACCUUGAUCUUUCAUAUAGCAGUCUAUCCUUAAACUCUAAUGGUACUAGUGCUGAUUAUGGAUCUCCAAAUCUUCAGUAUUUGUUCUCGUCUUCUUGCAAUGUCUAUGAAUUUCCCCAGUUUUUGAAAGGUUCAAAAAGUUUGGAACAUUUAGACCUUUCCAACAAUAAAAUUUAUGGCAAUAUUCCUAACUGGAUGUGGGAUGUGGGGAAGGACUCUUUGCAGUAUUUGAAUCUAUCUCACAACUCUUUGACAGAUUUUGAGCAAAUUCCAUGGAAGGGAAUUAAAUUUCUUGACCUUAGCUCAAAUUUCAUUCGAGGAGAUCUUUCGAUUCCACCAUCAACAACAGUGAUCUUUUAUAUCUCAAAUAAUAGUUUGAGUGGAGAGAUCCCUUCUCUGCUAUGCAAUGCAAAUUCCCUUGAAUUUCUUGGCUUGUCUCACAACAACUUGAGUGGAAUUAUUCCACAAUGUUUUGGAAACUUAAGCCAAAGCCUUUUAGUGUUGAAUCUACAAAUGAACAAAUUCCGUGGAUUCAUUCCUCCGGCUUUUACAAAGGGAUGUAAAUUGAAUUAUCUCAACUUAAAUGGUAAUCAAUUAGAAGGGCCUUUCCCACAAGCCAUCAUUAAUUGUAGAGGUUUGGAAGUGUUAGAUCUUGGUAACAACAAGAUCAAUGAUACAUUUCCUCAUUGGUUGGAAAGUCUUACACACCUACAAGUUCUUGUGCUGCAUUCGAAUCAAUUGCAUGGUUCCUUUCAGGACCCGUGGUCCAAUCAUUCUUUUUCCAAAAUUCAAAUUUUUGAUCUGUCGAAUAAUUAUUUUACUGGUCUACUUCCCGUUAAAUAUAUAAAAAAUUUCAAGGCUAUGAUAAAUCUCUCAAAAGAUAAAAGUGCAAGGUCAUACAUGGGAGUGUAUGCUCGUUCUGCUGCUGCUGACUUCUAUAGCUAUUCUAUUGAAAUUGCAAUGAAAGGAGUAGAGAUUCAAUUGGAGAAAAUAUUCAUCGCGUUGACGAGCAUUGACCUCUCAAACAAUGAGUUUCAAGGUGAGAUUCCAAAGGUUAUUGGAGAGCUUGACUCACUCAAAGGGCUAAACCUUUCUCAUAAUAACCUUAGUGGUUGUAUCCCCACAUCAAUGGGGAAUUUGACAGCACUUGAGUCACUGGAUCUCUCUUCGAAUAAGCUUGUUGGGAAGAUUCCUACACAGUUGAAUAGUUUGGGUUUUCUUGAAGUGUUAAACCUUUCACAAAAUCAGCUCGUUGGACCUAUACCUCAGGGAAAACAAUUCGAUACCUUUGGCAGGGAUUCCUACGCUGGUAACUUGGGACUGUGUGGGUUUCUAUUAUCAAGGAGCUGUGACAACACUGAGGCACCCUUUUUUCAUGACAGCACUGAGGCACCCAUUUUUCAUGUGGAAGCAGAUUCUGAAUCUGGAUUUGUGUGGAAAGCGACAUUCAUGGGUUAUGGAAGUGGACUAGUGUUGGGAAUAUCUGCAGCAUAUAUCAUGUUCACACUUGGAAGACCCAAAUGGCUUGUGAGGAUGGUUGAAGAAGUAGGCUACAAAUUGAAGAGAUACCUCAGAGGACGAAGGAAUUUGUAAAUUAGUAAGAAGCCCUCAUCUGUCACUGGUGGAUAGAAUGGCUUGUGUUCCUUUUAUGUUCAAUAUGAUUUUCGUUUCUUGACUGUGUUUUGUUUUGUCUUGCGCCCUGACUUUUCUUCCAGGGGUUGUAUCAUGUUUUCAAGUUGUUUGUUACAGGGGAUGCCUUGUUUUUGAUCUGGUAUGUUGCUUGGCUGUUGCUUAUAGCCAUCCAAAUGCUUGUUCUCUUCUGUUUUAUUCACCAAUGCUUAUUUCUAGAAUAAAUUUUCUUUCAUACUAAUGAAAUUGUAAGCCUGUUAUGGAUGCUAUAUGGAAUUUAAAGAUGAAUUUUCUAUCCCUUUUACAGAUGUUGACAUGAAAUUUUAGUUGAAUUCACCAUGCUUAAAUAACUUCUUUUUUUUUUUUACGUUUGGAGGCAGCACUGAGGGAGGAUAACAUUGAAUCCUAUAAUUAAAACUGGAGCAAUGGAAGCUUUUAAUUUAUCUCAAAUUUUGCCCUUUCACAGAGUACAGCAGGCAAGCAGAAGGACUUAACAGCAUCCAAUAGUCAAUGUUUUAAUACCUGCCACUCCGCUACCUUCUUAAUCAAGUCAAGCAAGCAAAAAGAAAUCAGUGUUACUAGCUAAAGGCAUCUGGGCUGGCAAUUCCUUCAUCACAAACAAAUUUUGCUUUACUUUGCUGAAUCAAAGAUUUUGCUUAUAUAUAUGUAUAUUGAAGAACUGAGCUUUGCUUUCUAAACUUCAGGUGCUUAAACUAUCCAGUUGCCAACUUGGCUUAACCUUGGACAUGCCUUGGACCAUGUUGAGAACAACAGUAUGCGUAGUUACCAAAUCUAGUUACCAUGCCUUCACACUUACAUCUUUGACUGGCCAUUACCAAUGGAGCCAAAACUUUCCUAUAAUUUCAGUUGUUCAUAAUAAAAGUCUUGUUCUUUUCAAUUUCUAUUCAUAAUUAAUCCUUCUGCUAGUUGUAUAUGACAACAGAAAAUAAAAAAACAUUAUACUAUUUAUUCGUCAAUUGUUUAGCUCCUUGCAAUGGGAAAAUUUUAUAAUAUGAAAUUAUAAAAAAACAUUAUAUUUAUAAAAGAUAUAGUUUUCGUCAGUCGUUGCUUAAUUGACUAUCUCUACUCCAUAAUUGACACAAAGCCAUGAAAUAUGAAAUUAGAACUCUUCUUUUUGGUCUUGCCUUGAAAGAAUAAAAUCCGAUGUGAAGAUGGACAUUACCAAAGUAAUGGAGAGAUUUCUUAAGUUUUUUUAGAGAUUAUAAAAGAAGUAUUUUGACUAUUUCUUUCUCAAAGAAAGGAAAAAGAAUAGGAGAUGUUCUGCUAAAAAAAUUCUAACUAAAGCAAAAUUAGUUUCAUGUUUAUGAUCCAAAACAUUAGCAAGAAAUUGAAUAUUUAUCGACAAAUUGAAAGCAGAAAAAAGAUUAGCAAGUUUCCUUUGAGGAGUUUUAACCUUACGCCGAAACCCAUAGGACAUUCCUUGCCUAGAACAUUUUCUACUUUUCGUAUACCAAAAGGUCUUCUUUAUAUAAUAAAUUAAUUAAUUAAUAAAACAAAUUGACUGUUUGAUUCAAAGUGUUAAACUAGAGAAAAUUUCACAUGUAUGCACUGCACAGGCGUCUUCGUCAAUUAAUUGUUACUAAUUUGCUUAUUCAAAUCCUUAGUGAAAGACUAUAGGGUCCAAACAUCGUUUGCCUUAAGGAACUAUUGACCUCACUUUUUCUUUUAUUUCUUUAAAAGAAAAAAUUACUGUAUAUAACAAGUAAUUAACAUACGAGAAGUGGGAUCAGCACAUAGAAAAUUGUAAUGGCAACAAAACUUUCCAACCGGAAAAAGUUUAAGAGACUUGGUAAACUAAUUUGUGUUGAAUGCACCUGCGUGAAGUGGGGUUCAUGCAAUAUAUAUAUAUAUAUAUAGGCCACAAAGACUUUUUCAUGCAUGUACAGCAUAAGGUUGAUACAUUGAGGGAUUGGUAUGUGAAUCAGCAUAAAGUUUUCCAAAUGAUUUGGUAUGUUAAAAAGCAAAUAUGAUGGAUUCAAAAGCAUAAAGUGGCAAAAUUGAGUCUUUAUAUAUACAUAUAGUCUGCAGGUGUUAGAUGUCAGAUUAUAAACUUUAAUGAAAUAAUAUUCCAAACUUUGAACAUUUAUAAUUUCAAUUGCUUUCAGACCAAUUGACAAUUAAAUUACCUACUAUAAUUAGAGGAUUGUAACUUACACAGAAGGCUUAUAGCUAAGUUAGACAUGAGGUAAUCAAUUCUAAAUCCAUCCAACUCAAAAAGCUAAGUUAAACUCUCGAUCUUGUCUAUAACAAACUUGAAAACCAUGCAAUCAUUGUUGCCAUUCAAUAGAAAAACAAAGGUCAAUCAUUGUCUGAAAAGUGGCAUUUCAUGUGGCAAAUGAUAAUUGUAGUUACAACAGUAAAACCGUAAAACAUUGAAUUAUACCGAGAACCAAAUCAAGAAGUGCAAUCUGCACAUAGAAAAUUGUAAUGGGGAUAUGAAAUAUAGGCCACAUGGACUUUUUCAUGCACGUACAGCUCAAAGGUUGAUACAUGGAAAGAUCUGAUAUAUAUUUUUUGAAUGGCAUAAUAUAAUUAGUAAAGGAGGGAAGAGUCUCAUCAGAAAAGGAGAAACUCCAAACCCCAAUACAAAGGGGACAUCAAACAGAAAAUCGAAUCCCAGAGCAACAAGGACACCAAGCAAGAACAGUCAGGAAAAAAAGGAAUAACAAAUAGAAGAAGGAGAAAAGCACCAGAAGAAGAACCCGAAAACACAGAAAUUAACCAAAAACUUGAAUCAGGAUAAAGUUUUCCAAACGAUUUGGUAUGCCGAAAGCAUAGUGGGGUAAACAGCAAAAGUGAUAGGUUCAAAGGGAAUACAGUGGCAAAAUUGAAUCCUAUUUGUAUAUAUUUGUCUUUAUCCUCUUUAAUCUGCACAUGUACAUAAUGUGAGAUUAUCCAAAUUCUUAUAGUCUCUAUAUUUCAUUAGAAAUUGAACAAAAUGGAGUUGAAAGUUACUCUCUAAUUUAAUUUGACAUGAAAAUUUAGAAAAAUGUUCUGAUUUUGAUACUUUUAUUAAAGUAGCAAUAAAAAAAUCUAAAUUAAUUUGAGGUAUCUUGAAAAAAAAUCUUCGAAUUCCACCUUCAACAACAAGAUUCUUUUUUAUCUCAAAUAAUAAUUUGAGUGGAGAGAUCUCUUCUCUAAUAUGCAAUGUGAGUUCUCUUAUAGUUCUUGACUUGUCUCACAACAACUUGAGAGGAAUAAUUCCACAAUCCUUUCGAAAUUUGAACAAAAGCCUCUCAAUGUUGAAAUUAGAGAGGAACAAGUUUUGUGGAACCAUUCCUCUAACUUUUGUGAAGGGAUGUGAACUGAAUUAUCUAAACUUACAUGGCAAUCUAUUAGAAGGACUUUUAACACGAUCCAUCAUUAAUUGCCAAGGUUUGGAAGUGCUAGAUCUUGGUAACAAUAAGAUCAAUGAUACAUUUCCUCAUUGGUUGGGAAGUCUUGCACAGCUACAAGUUCUUGUAUUACGAUCAAACAAAUUCCAAGGUUCCACUAGGUCCAGUAAUUCAUUCUCCAAAAUCCAAAUUUUUAACCUCUCAAAUAAUUACUUUAAUGGUCCACUUCCUGUUAAAUAUAUAAAAAUUUGAAAGCUAUGAUAAAUCUCACAAAAAAUGAUAGUGCAAGUUCAUACAUGGGGCUGGAUGCAUAUUGUGGAUCUUAUAGCUAUUCUAUUAAAAUUGCAAUAAAAGGACAAGAGGUUGAAUUAGAGAAAAUUUUCAUCACGUUGACUAGCAUUGACCCCUCAAAGAAUGAGUUUCAGGGUGAGAUUCCAAAGGUUAUUGGAGAGCUUAACUCACCCAAAGGGCUUAACCUUUCUCAUAAUAACCUUAGUGGUUGUAUCCCCACAUCCAUGGGGAAUUUGAUUAGUCUUAAAUGGCUGGACCUCUCUUCAAACAAGGUGGUUGGGAAGAUUCCUACACAGUCAACUAGUUGGGGUUAUCUUGAAGUCUUAAACCUUUUAGAAAAUCAGCUCGUUGGACCUAUACCUCAAGGAAACCAAUUCAAUACCUUUGGCAAUGAUUCUUAUGCUGGUAACUUGGGAUUGUGUGGGUUUCCAUUGUCAAAGAGAUGUGACAACACUGAGGCAUCCUUUUUUCAUGAGGAAGAAGAUUCUAAAUCGUGAUUUGGGUGGAAAAUGGCAUUGAUGGGUUAUGGAAGAGGACUAGUGUUGGGAAUAUUUGUAGCAUGCAUCAUCUUCACACUUGGAAAACCAAGAUGGCUUGUAAGGAUGGUUGAAGAAGUAGGCUACAAAUUGAAGAGAUACCUCAAAGGACGAAGGAAUUUCUAAAUUAGUAAGGAUGCUGUUGCAGACUUUGUAUUUUUCUUCCUAGAAUAAAUUUUCCUUCAUGGUAAUGAAAUUGCAAGCAUGUCAUUGUGUUCGUGGAAUUUAAACUUGAAUUUUCUACCCUUUUUACAAAUUUUGACAUGGAAUUUUAGUUGCAACCACUGCCCCUAUAUAUCUUUCGUCUGUAAGCUAUACGAACAUAUUAAUAUGAAUACAUAGCACAUGAAUUAAAAGAACAACGAAUGAAGUGCAAUUAAGGCAUGAGGUCUUUCUCCAAAGCUUCUCCAACUAAAUUAGUUCUUCUGAUUUGUUGGGGAAUAUAGAAGGUGGGGUUUUAAUUUGUUUAAGCAACAAAAAACUUUGUAUAGAAUAUACUUUAUAGUGGGUUCAUUUCAAAAAUACCGAUCAUAAAUAAGGUAUUUUGGAAAAUAGUCAUCUCUAUAAUUUUAAUUACUUUUAGCCGAGAGAAAUUUAAUUUUGGAUAAAAUUACUCUCAAUGAAACCGAUCCAUAUGUUUAGGUCUGCACCUCAAACCGAUUCAUAUCCUUUGAACUUUCCUCACCAGACCAUACAUCUCUAGAGUGUUCUUUGUUAGAAAGAAAAACUUUUAAGCAUUUUGAGCAUUUUGGAGUAGUUUUUGAGACACGAAGAAAAACUUUUGAGUAUUUUGAGUAUUUUAGAGUGGUUUUUGAUAUAUAAAGAAAAACUUUUUAGCAUUUUGAGCAUUUUUCAUCAAAUAGGUAUAUUCAUUGAUUAUAUUGUUAAAUAGAAUAUGGUGCGUUGUUUGAAAUUGUUGAUUUUGUAAAAUAGAAUUCAAUAGUUUUAGUGGUUUUUAAGCAUUACGUAACCGGUUUUUAGGCAUUACGUGAUUAGUUUUUAAACAUUGCGUGACUAAUUUUUAGGUAUUGCAUGACUAAUUUUUAGGUAUUGCGUGAUUGAUUGAUAUAACAUUACCUGACUGGUUGAUAGGCAUUGUGUGACUAGUUAGUAAGGCAUUGUGUGACUAAUUUUUAGGCAUUACCUGAAAAUCAGUCACGCAAUGACUACAACCUAGUUACACAAUGCCUAAAAAUAAAAAAAACGCAAUGAUUAAGUCAUGCAAUGCUUAAAAAUUUGUCUCACAAUACUUAAAAACUAGUGACAUAAUGUCUAAAAACCAGUAAUGCAAUACUUAAUAACUAAUUGAUUUGCUUGCUUGUAGUCAAGUUUAAGUUGCCAAACAAUGUUCUAAUUUGUAGAUAUGUCUAAUCAAUUUCAACCCCUUAACUUUGGAUAAACGAAUAAAUCCAAACCCCUAAAACAUAUACAUUGAUGUUAUCUCUUCUCUUUGGAAGCACGAGAAAAAGCUAGAUGGCGAGAUAGAGAGUAUUUGGUAGAAACGAGAAAUCAGGAUUUAACUUUAAAAUUUUUGUCUAAAUGAUGGGAUAAAGAAAACCGAAGCUAUUUUAAUUUAUGUGAAAUUGUUUAAAAGGCAUUGUUGUCAAGUCAUGUCAAAAAUUAGCUAAAAAUAGUUUAAAUUAUAAUAAAUAAUAUUUUUGAAUUGAGUUUAUGAGGAAGGUUUCUCACAAUUAUUACAGUUCAAUUGUGGCUGCAAGCAUCAACCUCUGUUAGAGAAACAAAAAACAAGGAUGAACAGAGGAUAAUACCAGCAAGGCAACGGUCAUGUUAUUAAUUAAAUCACAACACUUAUCUGGAACGUAAGAGAAAAUUUUCAGGAAAGAGAUAAAUUGAAAACAAGGAAGUGAAAAUGAUUUUCAUCACUGCAUUAAGCGUAUUUAUACAUGUGGUGAUUUUCAUCAUUGAAAGAAUAAGAACGAGAAAACAGUUAACCUAAAAAUAAGGGAUCAAAGAUAGCAUAUAUCAUUCAAAUAACUGCUGUUUUUAAUGGCUCACGACAUGUGGCCUUUAUUACAGCAUAAUUAAAAACUACUUAAGAAUAAACUUCUAAGUCAGGUGGUUGACAUGUGGACAUCUUUAUCUAUCAAGUACUAUGCCACACCUCUGCGACCGAGACUUCAAUAUCCAUUAUUAUCACACCAAACACUUAGUUUCAGGUCAAGCAUGCACAACACCACGUAAAUCAUGGGACAACAUGAUUUUCUUUGAAGUAUUGUUUACUCUCAACUUUUCUCUUGGGGAGAUUUGUUGGAUGUUUCAUUGAGUGCAAGCAUCUUGGUGGAGUCAAUUGCAACUCAAAGCAUAAACUCUUUUUCUACGAGAAAAACGUUUCAUUAAAUAAACGUUGGUGGAAUUUAUAAUGGAAUGAUCGGUUCAAUUGGAUUCAAUUCCUCUCUUUACUUUUAGAUUAAUUUGAUUUUUUUUUCUUUGCCAAGAUUUGAAAACUUAACAUUGAGAGAUCUUCCUAUUCACCUCAUCUUUUCUCCAACUGCAAUUCUUGGCUGAAGAUAAAGUAGUAAGCUUGACGAGCUAGACAAUCUAAUUAAUAAAUCAGAACAAUAGACUCGAUAUAUACAUAUAGAAGAUCAUGACAACCCAGACUUUUUUUUUUUUUCUAAAAUAUCAUCCUCAUAAGAACUUCUUGUUUUGAAAGUUUUAAGAUUGCAAACUUAAUUUGUAGUUGAUCACAUUAUUAGCAAAGAUAUCAUCCAAAUCAAUUUAGUUUCAAUCUCACAUUAUAACUUUAUUCAUGAAUAAGAUAAAUUACAAAAAAAAAAAAUCAGUGUUUCAUUUUAAAGCCAAAGAAAAAAAAGGAAAUACCAUCCCAUAGUCUAAAAUCUUGAAUAUAAAUUUGAAGUUGUUUAUAUUGUAGGGCUCAAUUCCCGUACCAAUUAAGAUAAUAUAUAUUGCAUAACGUCACCACUUUGGAAAUGAUUUAUAUAUAUAGCGUAAACGUGGGUCUGUGUGGUGGGCCAUUGUCAAAGAAAUGUGGAAACACCAUCUUCAGAGUCUGAAGGAAAUGAUGAUCAUGGAAAUGGAGUGGUGUUUCGCAUGCCUAUAACAUAUAUUAUUAUAAACAAUGUGCCAAUACAAACACAAUCAAAACCUUGAGGUUGUGCCACAACGUGUGUCUCCACUUCCCUUGAGUCUGAUUUGAUGGUUGACUCCCAAAGUUUUCUUAGUGCAUCCAUCCACUAUCACUUUAUCAAUUUAAUAUGCAAAGAAUUCUUCAACUUUUUAGUUAUUUAGUUGCAAUAUUCAAUUUGGAAUUGAGUUUGAAAAGUGUAAAUUACUUGUUUUUCCCCUUAAAUUCCCUCCAUUAAUACUUUAGCAAUGAGUCCGUGGAAAAUCAUACAUUGUAUCACAGAGAAUUUAGAGAAUGAUAUGAGAAAACUGAGUUACAGCUAAGUAGCAGACAGUAAAAAGACUAAAAUAAUAAUAAGUAUCGUUGUUAGUUUUGUUUAUUUUUCUGACCUUGAUAUUUAUCUGUCAAUACUUGGGCAUCCAAUCGUCAAUGUUUUUAAUACCUGAAGAAAUAAUGGUUUUCCUACAGAUAUUAAGUCAGAGCUAGUCUCACCAUCACGCAAACUGUAUCUUAACCUUCCUUUCCAGAGUGAAUUGAGAUCCUCUCCAUCACAACUUUAUAAUUUCCCUCAAUGUUUCUAUUUAUUCUCUAACAUUCUAGACUAAGAAAUUAAAAAUGUCAUGUCUAAGCAUUAAUCUAAAUCAGAAGGUAAUUCUAAGCCUUUGUCACUUGAAAAUCCUUAAUUCUCAGCCAACCCACUUUCAUUUCUUCGAGAAAGUGCUCAUCUUCCAUGCUUUUGAAUCGAAAUUUGAAGUACCCAUCAAAGUGCUCAUUUCGUGGAUACUUGUGCAAUGUUUCAGUGAGUGCGCAUUUGAGGCAUAAACUUUUUCAUUUGCUUUUAAAGGGAAAAACGAGUCAUUAAAUAAACUUAAGACUUUGAAAUUUAUUAGUAGCAAAAGUAUUCAUCCAAUCAAUUUCAAAAGUAUUGAAAUUGCGUGAAGUUGCGUAAAGUGGGGUUUGUAUGGUCUGCCAUUGUAAAAGAAAAGUGGCAUUAAAUAACAUUAGAUGGUUGACCUAUGAAUGUGCAAAUGCCAACACAGUCAAAACCUUGAGAUGUUGAUGGUGCCACAACAUGUGCCUUCACUUUCCUUGGGUCAUGAUUAGAUGGUUGACUCCCAAAGGUUUCUUAGUGCAUCCAUCAAUUAUCACUUGAUCAAUUUAAUAUGCAAAGAAUUCUUCAAAUAUUUAGUUAUUUAAUUGCAAUAUUCAAUUUGGAAUAGAGUUUGAAAAAUUGUGUCAAAUUACUCUUUCAUUAAUAGUUCAGCAGAAAAUAUUCAUUGUAUCACAGAGAAUUUAGAGAAUGAUGUAUAAGAAAACUGAUUUAAAGCUAAGUAGCAGAAAAUGGAAGACAAACAAUAAUUGAGGUGUUUCUCAUUCGUUUAUUUGAAAUUGCUAAUACUUAUCUGUGAAUAAUUUGGUCUUAAUUAGAUAUCAUAUCAACAUAGGAGCAGAAGAAGCUUAAGUUAAGAGACAUCAAAGAAGUAAAAAUUAAAGCACAAUUGAAACUAGAAGUACAUGGUAUAAACAAAAUGCAAAAUUGGCCCAGUUGGAGGAAAUUUUAUCAUUGCUGCACUCUUAGAUUAUUUAUCUAUUUAUUAUUAUUUUUCUUCUUUCUUUUCUUCUCUGAGUUAAAAGAAAACUUACAAAUAUGAAGAAUGAAUGAAUAAAGUCAAAAUUAAUAUAUGUUUUGAUUAAGAAAAGAAGAAUGAAAGAGAGGGAGACAGAAAACCUUUUCAAAAUGUUUAUUUUAGAAAUAGAGGUCAUAUAGAACUUUUCAUGUCACGUAUUUCACAUGAGAAUAGCAAAAAGUGAUACACAAUUGCUCUAUUCCUCUUUAAUUGCGUAUUAGAUUAUGGAUUCUUAUUUUUUCUUAUUAUUUUUUAUUAGAAAUUUAACAAAAUGGAGUCGAACUUAAUUUUUAUUUUAAUUUGAUAUGAAAAUUUAGAAAAAUGUUCUGAUUUUUAUACUUUUAUUAAAGUAAUCAUAAGAAUUUUUUAAAUUAAUUUGCAAUAUCUUUAGAAAAUGAAUAUAACAAAAAUCUUGAAUACAAAUUUCAAGUUGAUUAUUAUUGUUGGCCUCAAUUCCCAUAACUAUUAAGAGACGGUUGUUCAAUGAAUGUGGAAAUUCAAACACAAUCAAAACCUUGAGAUAUAGAUAGUUCCACAACAUGUGUCUUCACUCCCCUUGAAUCUGAUUAGAUGGUUGAGUACUCCCAUAGGUUACUUAGUACACUAUAUCACAGAGAAUGAUAUGAGAAAAUUAACUAUUUUACAACAAAGUAACAAACAAUACAAGGCUAAAAUAAUAAUGAGUACCAUUGAGGUGUUUCCCAUUAAUUUAUUUGAAAUUGUUAAUAUUCUUUAUUUUUUAGAUAUCAUAUCAACAAGGGAGCAGAUGAAGCUUAAGUUAAGAGACAUCAAAGAAGUAAUACUUCUUAAUGAACCAAAUUUGUUAUUUCUUGGUGAUUGAGGCUGACAUAAUUGCUUUUGUUGAAAAACACAAAAAGAGAAAAGGAAAGAAUAAUACAAAACAUAUGAGAUUAUGCAAUUGGUACAUGUUCCAUGUCAAAAACAUAUUGAGUAUUGCUUUUGGACCAGGUUGGUCGACAUAAAAGCUCUCCACGUGACCACCGUAACAUUUUCCUCGAUUUGACACAUCAUCAAUUAUGAACUUCCAAGAAACCUGAGAAAACAAAAUUAUGAACUUGGAUUUGGCACCUCUUGACUAGGCAGCUUAUAAAUACUCAUCUUUGCCUUCCCACCAUUCAUGUCAUGCCAUUAAUAUUCAAUUUCUCUUGUUAAGAAACAUGUGGUGCUUACUCAAAGCCUUUCAACUCCUCCACCUUCUUUUGUUCCUCCUGAUUUUUCAAGCCAAUCUUUCAUCUUCUUCUUCUUCUUCAAUUACACAGUUGUGCUCUCCUGAAGAAGCUGCUGCAUUGAUCCAAUUCAAGACCUCUUUUUCCAUCGAUGAAUAUUCAGCUGGGGAAUGCGAUGAAUCUUAUCCUAAGACAAAUUCAUGGAAGGAGGGUUCAGAUUGCUGCUCAUGGGAUGGGGUCACUUGUGAUAACAUCAAAGGUCAAGUUAUUGGCCUUGACUUGAGUUGCAGUCAGCUCUAUGGCAGCAUCCCCUCCAAUAGUAGUCUCUUCCAUCUUCCACACUUGCAGAAACUCAACCUAGCCUCCAACGAUUUUAACUCUUCCAAGAUGUCAUCUAAGUUUGGUCGGUUUGCAAGUCUGGUGUAUCUUAACCUGUCUUUCGCAUCCUUUGCAGGAGAAGUCCCAUCCCAAAUCUCCCACUUGUCAAAAUUGGUUUCACUUGAUCUCUCUUGGAAUUGUUAUCAACCACUUGAUAGGCAUACUCUGGAAGGACUCGUUGAGAACCUAACAGAGGUGAGACAACUUUUUCUUGGUGAUAUCAAUAUGUCUUCUAUUAAUCCUAAUGUCUUGACGAAUCUAUCCUCA
rnacentral:lncRNA from 1 species